rnacentral:misc_RNA from 1 species
GAAAUGCGAUAAGUAAUGUGAAUUGCAGAAUUCAGUGAAUCAUCGAAUCUUUGAACGCACAUUGCGCCCCCUGGUAUUCCGGGGGGCAUGCCUGUUCGAGCGUCAUUUCACCACUCAAGCCUCGCUUGGUAUUGGGCGACGCGGUCCGCCGCGCGCCUCAAAUCGACCGGCUGGGUCUUCCGUCCCUCAGCGUUGUGGAAACUAUUCGCUAAAGGGUGCCGCGGGAGGUCACGCCGCAAAACAACCCCAUUUCUAAGGUUGACCUCGGAUCAGGUAGGGAUACCCGCUGAACUUAAGC